CCCUCCACUACAACAUUUGGACAAUUUGGGUGGUGAAAACUCAGUCCUCAGUGACCUUGUAAAGGCAGAAUUGUCUGACGGCAUUAGCUCUGAUCUUUCAGAGGACAGCAAUGGGGUGUCAUGGAGACAAGACGAGGCCAACAGCAACCCUGUGCCGGGAACCGAUCACUCAUAUUCUCUCGACACGUCUCGGUCAGCCGAAAGAACUGCGGUGUCAAAACCUGCGGCGAAGAAGCGACUUGUUUUUUUUUUCCGACUCAUUCAAAGUAUUACAGAGCAGCAGAAUAGUAACCAUGACUACAGCUCCUUGCGUGCAAACAGUAUCGGUAGCUCCUAUGAAAGCUGAACCGGUUACGCGUAUCCUCAGAGUGAUGGGUCAAGGCAGUAAACCCCAACCCAUCACAGACGGUGGAGUGUACAAGGCUGUUAGUGUAGGCAAUGAUAUUCAACUUAUCAGAAUUGACAGCUAUUAAAUAUUGUUAUCUCAAGUGCCAAAGAUAGAGACAAAUAUAAUGAAAUUAAAAUUAUAACAAAGAAAUAAUUGAGAUGAAAAUCAUUAUGUUUUACCAGCUUUUUGUAAUAUGUUUUAUUACAGUAAAAACUUUAUUUUUUAAAAUCUGAUUGAUUAGAAUUUUUGUUCACGUUUUCUUGAAUAAUAAAAAUAGUGUUUAUAACAUGGCAAAAAAUAAUGCCAUAGUUGAUUAAUAUUUGUUUGUUACACUCAAAUAUAUGGGAAAAAGUAAAACAUGUAUUAGUUAUGUAUAACUAAUUUAAAGAGAGGAUUUUUUUAUUUAUGAGAUUACCAACCAUGGGAAAGUACAAUAGUUCAACACAGUGUUUUGUGAUAAUGAUUACAUAAAUUAUUUAUUGUAAUUUUAAUACAAUGUUUUAAUUAGUGCGAGAAAGAUAUUUAAGUUUUUUAAGAAAAAUUAUAAAUUUAAUUUUUAUGUCUCAUUUUUUAAUAGUCGAUCCUACUAUUGUAAUCAGUUCAGUCAUUUCAACAUAUGAUUAAAUUAUGUUUUACUUUUUUAAUUUUGAAGUUGCUUUUGAUAGAUUACAUUGUUUAAUGUUAAAUUUGUUUGUUUUAUUUUGAUGAAUAGCUAAUAAUAUAUUCCAAUUGAUUGUUGGACCAAACUAAUAUUGAAAUUAUCACAAUACUUCUGCUCUUGGCAUGGCUGUGUACUUUUUCAUAAACUUCAUUACCAUCGUUUUGUAAUGCUAUUGAAUAAAUUCAUAAUGU